rnacentral:rRNA from 1 species
GCAGUGCGGGGGGCUUACACAUGCAGUCGACGAUGAAGCCCUUCGGGGUGGAUUAGUGGCGAACGGGUGAGUAACACGUGGGCAAUCUGCCCUUCACUCUGGGACAAGCCCUGGAAACGGGGUCUAAUACCGGAUAACACCGGCCUCUGCAUGGGGGCUGGUUAAAAGCUCCGGCGGUGAAGGAUGAGCCCGCGGCCUAUCAGCUUGUUGGUGAGGUAACGGCUCACCAAGGCGACGACGGGUAGCCGGCCUGAGAGGGCGACCGGCCACACUGGGACUGAGACACGGCCCAGACUCCUACGGGAGGCAGCAGUGGGGAAUAUUGCACAAUGGGCGAAAGCCUGAUGCAGCGACGCCGCGUGAGGGAUGACGGCCUUCGGGUUGUAAACCUCUUUCAGCAGGGAAGAAGCGAAAGUGACGGUACCUGCAGAAGAAGCGCCGGCUAACUACGUGCCAGCAGCCGCGGUAAUACGUAGGGCGCAAGCGUUGUCCGGAAUUAUUGGGCGUAAAGAGCUCGUAGGCGGCUUGUCACGUCGGGUGUGAAAGCCCGGGGCUUAACCCCGGGUCUGCAUCCGAUACGGGCAGGCUAUAGUGUGGUAGGGGAGAUCGGAAUUCCUGGUGUAGCGGUGAAAUGCGCAGAUAUCAGGAGGAACACCGGUGGCGAAGGCGGAUCUCUGGGCCAUUACUGACGCUGACGAGCGAAAGCGUGGGGAGCGAACAGGAUUAGAUACCCUGGUAGUCCACGCCGUAAGCGUUGUGAACUAUGUGUUGGCGACAUACCACGUCCGUCCGAGCCGCAGCUAACGCAUAAAUUCCCCUCCUGGCAAUACCGCCGCAGGCUCAUACUCAGACGCAGUGUCAGGGGCUGCUCGGGCAGGGAGCAUGGUCUUCCU